rnacentral:rRNA from 1 species
AGUGUUUUUGGAAUUCGGCUUAGAGUUUGAUCCUGGCUCAGGAUGAACGCUGGCGGCGUGCCUAAUACAUGCAAGUCGAACGAGGCCCUUUGUAUUCGUAUGAAGGUGUCCUAGUGGCGAACGGGUGAGUAACGCGUUGGUGACCUGCCCCGAAGUGGGGGAUAACAGUUCGAAAGGAUUGCUAAUACCCCAUGUGGUCAUUUUGAUUAGAAGCUUUAUGACUAAAGGAGUAAUUCGCUUCGGGAGGGGCCUGCGUCCCAUCAGCUUGUUGGUGAGGUAAUGGCUCACCAAGGCUUAGACGGGUAGGGGACCUGAGAGGGUGACCCCCCACAAUGGAACUGAAACACGGUCCAUACAUCUACGGAUGGCAGCAGUAGGGAAUAUUGCUUAAUGGGCGAAAGCCUGAAGCAGCAACGCCGCGUGUGCGAUGACGGCCCUCGGGUUGUAAAGCACUUUUUGAGGGGAAGAGGAAGGACGGUACCCUCAGAAUAAGCCUCGGCUAACAC